ensembl:misc_RNA Metazoa_SRP Metazoan signal recognition particle RNA
GCCGGGCGCGGUGGCACGUGCCUGCAGUCCCGGCUACUCGGGAGGCUGUGGCUGGAGGAUGCUUGAGCCAUGAAUUCUGGGCUAUAGUGCGCUAGUCCAAUGGGGUGUCCACACUAAGGUCGGCAUCAAUAUGGUGACCUCCUGUGAGCGGGGACCACCAGGUUGCCUAAGGAGGGGUGAACUGGCCCAGGUCGGAAACGGAGCAGGUCAAAACUCCCGUGCUGAUCAGUAGUGGGAUCGCGCCUGUGAAUAGCCACUGCACUCCAGCCUGGGCAACAUAGCAAGACCCCAUCUCUA